rnacentral:rRNA from 1 species
AAAUUGAAGAGUUUGAUCAUGGCUCAGAUUGAACGCUGGCGGCAGGCCUAACACAUGCAAGUCGAACGGUAGCACAGGGGAGCUUGCUCCCUGGGUGACGAGUGGCGGACGGGUGAGUAAUGUCUGGGAAACUGCCUGAUGGAGGGGGAUAACUACUGGAAACGGUAGCUAAUACCGCAUAACGUCGCAAGACCAAAGAGGGGGACCUUCGGGCCUCUU